UGGGGAAUAUUGCACAAUGGGGGAAACCCUGAUGCAGCCAUGCCGCGUGGGUGAUGAAGGCCCUAGGGUUGUAAAGCCCUUUCAGCGGGGAAGAUAAUGACGGUACCCGCAGAAGAAGCCCCGGCUAACUUCGUGCCAGCAGCCGCGGUAAUACGAAGGGGGCUAGCGUUGCUCGGAAUUACUGGGCGUAAAGCGCACGUAGGCGGCUUUCUAAGUCGGGGGUGAAAUCCUGGAGCUCAACUCCAGAACUGCCUUCGAUACUGGAAAGCUCGAGUCCGGGAGAGGUGAGUGGAACUGCGAGUGUAGAGGUGAAAUUCGUAGAUAUUCGCAAGAACACCAGUGGCGAAGGCGGCUCACUGGCCCGGUACUGACGCUGAGGUGCGAAAGCGUGGGGAGCAAACA
rnacentral:rRNA from 1 species